GCCCUAUGAUCCAUCCAUUAGCUGACUGUGAGCAUCCUAAUCAGACUUUUACUCAGUUGUUAUUAUAGGACUACUGGCCCUCAGUUCUGAAGUCAGUGAAAAGGCCAGCUCAGGAACUCUGGGCUACAGGAGUCAGGGAAAGCAGAGAAAAGAGACAGUAAAGGACUAGUGUGCAUACUUCAAGGAGAGAGGCCACUGGGCUCCAGAGUGCCCUAGCAAAUGGAAGCAGGGAGCAGGAAGUCCCAGGCCUUGGGAAAAGUGCCCCCAAAAGGCAAAGGUCUUAGCCCUGGGUAAAGACAGUGAUUAGGGGAGACAGGAUUCAGAUCCCCUCACUGAACCCAAGAUAAAACUCUGAGAGUGGAGGGGAAACCCACUCAAUUCUUGGUGGACACAGGGGCUCAACACUCAGUCCUCCAAGCUGACGGGCCACAACUAACCUGCUGGAAUCUGAGGCUACCUGGUUUACAGACUGGAGUAGUUUUCUCCACGAAGGUCAGAGAUGAGUGGGUGCUGCUGUGGUGGACUGCACAAAUGUCAUCUGGGCAGAGCCUCUACCCCUUGGCACCUCUACCCCUGGCACUUCUACCCCCUGGCACCUCUGUCAAUGCAGAGAGUGCAGCUAAUUGUCCUCGCCAAGGCCUUGGAACUUGGAGCCAGCAAGAAAAUUAACAUCUGCUCGAAUAGCAGGUUUGCCUUUGCCACAGCCGGCGUCCACAGGGCUAUAUGCCAAGAGAGAGGACUGCUCACGUCAGAGCAAACAAACAGGAAACCUUGAACCUCUUGGAUGCCAUAAUGAAGCUGGCAACUGUGAGUAUUAUUCACUGUCCAGGACAUCAGAGGAGAAGAGACUCAGUGGCCCCGGGCAAUAGCCAGGCAAAUCAAGUGGCUCCAGAAGUGGCUAUGCGGGAGCCUAUCUGGGUUCUGGGACUGGACUAAGGAAUGGCUUCACUUAAAAUAUAUGGAAGAAGAAAGGACUCAGAUUGCUAGUCACCCUACCAACUAUUACCAAGAGAAGGAAGGACAAUGGCACACACAAGAAGGGAGAACUAUACUUCCCAGAAAGCAAGCAAAAAGACUUACUAAGCCAAAUGCACCGAUGGAUUCAUUUAGGGGGUACAAAGCUUGUCCAAGCACACAAGGAACCUAAAGUAUAUAUAACCGACCUCAGGUUCUGGGCCAGAGAGAUAGUAGAACAGUGUAAGGUAUGUCGGCAAAUAAAUGCUUAUGCAACCAAGAGUAAACAGGGCAAAAGGCCUAGGGGAGAACGGCCUGGAGUUUAUUGAGAGGUUGAUUUUACAGAAGUUAGGCCAGGAAAAUAUGGUUACAAAUACCUUCUAGUGUACCUUCUGGAUGGGUUGAGGCUUUCCCCACCAAGCAGGAAACAGCUACUGUGGUAGCUAAAAAAAAUAUUAGAGGAAAAUUUCCCGAUGUUUGGAGUGCCCAAGGUAAUUGGAUCAGACAAUAGUCCUGCUUUUGUCUCUAAGCCCGCAAGGUGGAUGGUAUUGAGGCCUGGUGCACGCUUCUCAUGUGAAACCUGUAGACACCCCACUCCCCAGGGACCCCCACUGGAUGGUACAGAAGGUGGACAAUCUGCUCAAGCUCAAGAUCACUCGACCUUGAUCAUGACCGCUUGGUGGUACCUUUAGAUUCUGGUUCCUUCCCCCAUCCUAUGUGCCCGUCUGCUAAACCUGUUAGAGCACUCACUGUCUCCCUUCUGUUGAGGUUGGGGAUGGCCAGGGCAGCCACUGGGACCUCUGCUUUGGUCUUACAAGGGGAAAAUUAUGACAGUCUGAAGGCUGCCAUUGAUUUAGAUGUAGAGCGAAUAGAAACUUCCACCAGUCACCUUCAAGAAUCACUGACUUCAUAGUGAUACUGCAGAAUAGGAGGGGAUUAAAGGUAACUUUUCCUCCAGCAAGGAGGGCUAGGUGCUGCCUUAGCUAAGGAGUGUUGCUUUUAUAUAGACCAUUCUGGGGUUGUUAACCCUGUUAGGACCCCCUAAUUGUUCUCAAGCUAUAGUUGACUUUUAGCCUCUACAUUUUGGACCACUUGGUCGCUGUUGUUAAGGAACACAUAGGUCCAGUACAGCGUAAAGCUGAGAUACAAAGAACUAGAUACAGAAGACCAGAAGUAUGAGCUAUCAGAAUGCCAGCAAUAGCUGCAGGAUUGAAGCAUGCACAAAGAAAAGGGGGAAUGAAAAGGUCAGCUCAGGAACUUUGGAAAGGUCAUGGAAUAUUUUCCCCUUCGGAAGGAAGAGGCUAAUUAACAUCCCUCAGACCACAGCGGGGCAGCGGGGUGGGUAGAUGACCUGCAAGUGGGUACAGACAAGGGAAGUCCUUACCACUUCAUUCUCUAAAGACCAGUCAGUUUAAAAGUCACACUGUUCUGCCAGUCACGUUGUGCCUAAUGGUGGCAGCCCUGAGAACCGUAUGGAUGGGCUGUGCAUGGUUGCUCUCUCCCCAUGUGCAAGGUGACCCCAGCAUGCUGGAUUAAAUAAAAUUCCUCUUGCUUUUGCAUCGA